GGACGUGAGAGUGACCUGGCUGUGAGAUCUGUCACUCCAGAUCAGGUGAAUCAACCCUGGCGUUCAAUGGGGUGUCCCUUUCCUCCCUCACCGCUCUAUGUGCCCCCCAAGCUGCACACUCCAUUGAAGAGGACAGCCUUCCUCUUCAGUCGAGGGUGACAAGUAGCUGCACUCUCCUGCUUGAACCUCCAAACAAGCUCUCAAAUAGUGUUUACAUAUAAAAUAUUUCUUACUAUAAAUUCUAUAUGCCACACUAGUCCUUACACAGUG
ensembl:misc_RNA 7SK 7SK RNA